rnacentral:rRNA from 1 species
CCUACGGGGGGCUGCAGUGGGGAAUAUUGCACAAUGGGCGCAAGCCUGAUGCAGCCAUGCCGCGUGUGUGAAGAAGGCCUUCGGGUUGUAAAGCACUUUCAGCGGGGAGGAAGGCGUUAAGGUUAAUAACCUUGGCGAUUGACGUUACCCGCAGAAGAAGCACCGGCUAACUCCGUGCCAGCAGCCGCGGUAAUACGGAGGGUGCAAGCGUUAAUCGGAAUUACUGGGCGUAAAGCGCACGCAGGCGGUCUGUCAAGUCGGAUGUGAAAUCCCCGGGCUCAACCUGGGAACUGCAUUCGAAACUGGCAGGCUAGAGUCUUGUAGAGGGGGGUAGAAUUCCAGGUGUAGCGGUGAAAUGCGUAGAGAUCUGGAAGAAUACCGGUGGCGAAGGCGGCCCCCUGGACAAAGACUGACGCUCGGGUGCGAAAGCGUGGGGAGCAAACAGGAUUAGAUACCCCGGUAGUC